AGAUCCGUUAAAAUGUGUGCACGAUAUUACAAGUUUGGGAUUGUGCUGAGCUGGGCUUUAAAGUGUUUAAAUCCCCCCAGAGGGCUCCACCAGCUCGUGUGUCACCUGAAUUCCCUGUGACAUCAGUCAGGAACCUUUCUGAGGGCCAGCACCUUCACUGAGCUGCCUCAGUGCACAACUCUAGCACCGCGCUCAUUCCUUCUUCCCUUCCACCCUAAAUUAAGCUUGAUAGUUCCCCACCUUAUUUAUUCCUUUUAAUUGACCUGGCUCAUUUCUAUAAAGUAGAUUCAGCCCUCCUGAAAGCAGCUCUGUAUUGAUCAAACCUGACCUAUUUUCUCGGUGCGCCCACCCAGCUCUCGUGGCGGCAGCGGCGGCGCAAAGCUGCUCCAUCAAUAUCCUCGUUUUGCUGCAGCAAGGACGAGAUGCACCUUCAGGGCUUGAGACCUGCUCACUCAUCGAUCUGAUGAAUAAAAUUGUCCAUGGGAAGGGGUGGGGAAAUGUUGGGAAAAAGCAAGGAGGAAGUACUGUACAACUUCACAGCCCUGGUCCAGGCCCCAUGGUCAUCCCAGCUCUCUUUAAUAUAUUUCUUUAUUGAAAUCCAGCACCCCUAUUCUGAGGAACUGAAGCCACCAUUCUGUGCACCACUCAGAAACACUCUUGCAGAAAUUUGGAAUUUAUCAGCAGAGAUUAAUUGAAUCCCACCAGUACUGUACAUCAAAUGGAGGAACAGGGCCCCUAUUUAUCUCUUAAAGUUCUGAAAAUGAAAAACAUCUAAUCACUGGUUGCCUUUGAUGAAUGCCUCAUUGUUCUCCUCGCCGGAGAGGCAUUUCAUAUGGCACUGGCAAUACAGUGCUGCUGGGGAGGGGGCUGCAGCACUGCUUGGAGAAGUAUAAUUCCAUUUACAUCCAACAGAAAUAUAAAGUUUCCAUGAUACAGGAUUUUUUUUAAUUUUUUUUUCUCUUUAGUUUGUUUUUUUCUUUCCCUCUCAAGGCAAAAAAAAAAAAUGUUCUUAAGGCGGAGCAAGCAGAAACUAAUACAAUUAAAUACUUUGCUUUGCCUGCCAAGGACAUUUGACUGCUACUGUGCUACAUCAGCUUUGCCCCCUCUGAUUUCAUGCUGAAACAUUAACAAGAGCUGACACUGGAGAUUAGAAGCAGACAGCUGGAAUGCCAGGUCUUUGUUGCAGCAUGGACAUGAGCCAACAUCGUUCAACCGCAGCCAAGAGGGACCUGGGAAAGUCUUCUUAAGAAGGGGAGGUGGGAGAGGGGCAGACAAGGUAGUUUACUGAAGGGCAUAUACAAGUAGAUAAUUGCAGAGCCCUUUCAUCUCUUAAAGCCAAAUUCUAAUCAAUCCUGGUUUAUUAAGAGGGUCAUUAAAGGUAAAAUUAAAGAGGGGGACAAAAAAAAAUAAUAAAUAAAAAAAAAAUCGCCAUUAAGCCUGGCUAGCUUAAAAGUUUUGAGUAAAAGCGACUGCAAGGCUGCAGACGCCUCUAAUUUGUCUGCUUGUUGUUUGCAGUGGUGCUGGUUGGAAAUGCAGUGCUGGUCUCCUUUAAAGAAAGAAAAAAAAUAAAUAAAUAAAAAAAGAUUUAAUCCACUUAGUUCCAGGUGAAUAAAUUGAGAAAUAAAACUGGAUUUAUGUGCUGGUGCAGUGUGUGAACUGUAAAUUCCCCAGCAAAAAGGAGGAGGUAGUAUAACACAACAUUCUUGUGGCUAAUAAAUUGUUUCCCGAGAAGAGAGACCUAAUAAAGAGACAUAAUUUCAUCCAAACCAUGGGGUAACUCUUACUCUUCAUCCAUUCUUCAGGGAGGAACUUGGGGAGG